rnacentral:sRNA from 1 species
GUCCCAAGAGUGGUGUCUCCUUGAGUUCUGAUGCAGCAGGAAGAACUGAAGUUAGACUCUGGGAAGGACUUUCUAAUGUGGAAGCACAAGCUAUGGAAUGCGGAGCUGAGUGUGGGGGUGGACUCUUUCUUUGGAAAGAUUUCCAAGGUACAAGAUGGUGGUGACCCCCCGGAGGGCGGCGGUGGCCAUUGCCGGCUGCUGGAUCCUCUCCUUCGUGGUGGGACUGACCCCUAUGUUUGGCUGGAACAAUCUGAGUGCGGUGGAGCGGGCCUGGGCAGCCAACGGCAGCAUGGGGGAGCCCGUGAUCAAGUGCGAGUUCGAGAAGGUCAUCAGCAUGGAGUACAUGGUCUACUUCAACUUCUUCGUGUGGGUGCUGCCCCCGCUUCUCCUCAUGGUCCUCAUCUACCUGGAGGUCUUCUACCUAAUCCGCAAGCAGCUCAACAAGAAGGUGUCGGCCUCCUCCGGCGACCCGCAGAAGUACUAUGGGAAGGAGCUGAAGAUCGCCAAGUCGCUGGCCCUCAUCCUCUUCCUCUUUGCCCUCAGCUGGCUGCCUUUGCACAUCCUCAACUGCAUCACCCUCUUCUGCCCGUCCUGCCACAAGCCCAGCAUCCUUACCUACAUUGCCAUCUUCCUCACGCACGGCAACUCGGCCAUGAACCCCAUUGUCUACGCCUUCCGCAUCCAGAAGUUCCGUGUCACCUUCCUUAAGAUUUGGAACGACAAUUUCCGCUGCCAACCCGCACCUCCCAUUGGCGAGGAUCUCCCAGAAGAGAGGCCUGAUGACUAGACCCCGCCUUCUGCUCCCACCAGCCCACAUCCAGUGGGGUCUCAGUCCAGUCCUCACCUGCCACUGUCCCAGGGGUCUCCCUGAGCCUGCCCCAGCUGGGCUGUGGGCCGGGGGCAUGGGGGAGGCUCUGAAGAGAUACCCACAGAGUGUGGUCCCUCCACUAGGAGUUAACUACCCUACACCUCUGGGCCCUGCAGGAGGCUUGGGAGGGCAAGGAUCCUACGGAGGGACCAGGUGUCUAGAGGCAAGAGUGUCCUGAGCCCCCACCUGCCUGACCAUCCCACGAGCAGUCCAGCGCUUCAGGGCUAGGCAGGUCCUGGGGAGGCCGAGACUGCAGAGGAGCCACCUGGGCUGGGAGAAGGUGCUUGGGCUUCCGCAGUGAGGCAGGGGAGUCUGCUUGUCUUAGAUGUUGGUGGUGCAGCCCCAGGACCAAGCUUAAGGAGAGGAGAGUAUCCCCUCUGAGACGGAUGGAAGGAGAGAGGUUGAGGAUGCACUGGCCUGUUCUGUAGGAGAGACUGGCCAGAGGCAGCUAAGGGGCAGGAAUCAAGGAGCCUCCUUUCCCACCUCUGAGGACUCUGGGCCCCAGGCCAUACCAGGUGCUAGGGUGCCUGCUCUCCUUGCCCUGGGCCAGCCCAGGAUUGUACGUGGGAGACGCAGAAAGGGUGGGUUCAGAAAUCAUUUCUGAUAUUUGCUGGAGUGCUGGCUCCACGCCCUGGGGAGUGAGCUUGGUGCGGUAGGUGCUGGCCUCAAACAGCCACGAGGUGGCAGCUCUGAGCCCUCCUUCUUGCCCCGAGCUUUCCGGGGAGAGCCUGGAGUGUAAUUAACUGUCAUCUGGGCCACCAGCUC